AUAAAAUUGAAAAAUCAUGAGUUUCUCUAAAGUCCAAUCAUUUAUUCGGUGGUAAAAUGCGUUUCUCGCCAAAACGUGUUUUCCCGCCAAAACUACAAAACAAGUUUUCCCGCUAAAACUGCAAAACUCGUUUUCCCGCAAAAACACAAUUUUCCGCCAAAACUGAAAAACCAAUUUUCCCGCAAAAACACAUUUUCCCGCCAAAACCGCAAAAA
rnacentral:lncRNA from 1 species